rnacentral:rRNA from 1 species
UACGGAGGGUGCAAGCGUUAUCCGGAUUCACUGGGUUUAAAGGGUGCGUAGGUGGGCUAGUAAGUCCGUGGUGAAAUCCCCGAGCUUAACUCGGGAACUGCCGUGGAUACUAUUAGUCUUGAAUAUCGUGGAGGUAAGCGGAAUAUGUCAUGUAGCGGUGAAAUGCAUAGAUAUGUCACAGAACACCAAUUGCGAAGGCAGCUUACUAAGGUGCAAUUGACGCUGAGGCACGAAAGCGUGGGGAUCAAACAGG